GAUGAACGCUGGCGGCGUGCUUAACACAUGCAAGUCGAACGGUGAACGAGGGAGCUUGCUCCCUCCGGAUCAGUGGCGAACGGGUGAGUAACACGUGAGCAAUCUGCCCUGGACUCUGGGAUAAGCGUUGGAAACGACGUCUAAUACCGGAUACGAGACGCGAAGGCAUCUUCAGCGUCUGGAAAGAAUUUCGGUCCAGGAUGAGCUCGCGGCCUAUCAGGUAGUUGGUGAGGUAACGGCUCACCAAGCCUACGACGGGUAGCCGGCCUGAGGGAGCGACCAGCCACGCUGGGACUGAGACACGGCCCAGACUCCUACGGGAGGCAGCAGUGGGGAAUAUUGCACAAUGGGCGAAAGCCUGAUGCAGCGACGCCGCGUGAGGGAUGACGGCCUUCGGGUUGUAAACCUCUUUCAGCAGGGAAGAAGCGAAAGUGACGGUACCUGCAGAAGAAGCGCCGGCUAACUACGUGCCAGCAGCCGCGGUAAUAC
rnacentral:rRNA from 1 species